AGAGUUUGAUCCUGGCUCAGGAUGAACGCUAGCGGCAGGCUUAAUACAUGCAAGUCGAGGGGCAGCACGGGUAGCAAUACCUGGUGGCGACCGGCAAACGGGUGCGGAACACGUACGCAACCUUCCCAAAACUGGUGAAUAGCCCUCCGAAAGGAGGAUUAAUACACCGUACCAUAAUGAAGAGGCAUCUCUUUAUUAUUAUAGUCUUCGGACGGUUUUGGAUGGGCGUGCGCCUGAUUAGGUAGUUGGCGGGGUAACGGCCCACCAAGCCUGCGAUCAGUAACUGGUGUGAGAGCACGACCAGUCACACGGGCACUGAGACACGGGCCCGACUCCUACGGGAGGCAGCAGUAAGGAAUAUUGGUCAAUGGACGCAAGUCUGAACCAGCCAUGCCGCGUGAAGGAUGAAGGUCCUCUGGAUUGUAAACUUCUUUUAUCUGGGACGAAAAAAGGGCUUUCUAGCUCACUUGACGGUACCAGAGGAAUAAGCACCGGCUAACUCCGUGCCAGCAGCCGCGGUAAUACGGAGGGUGCAAGUGUUAUCCGGAUUUACUGGGUUUAAAGGGUGCGUAGGUGGGUCUGUAAGUCAGUGGUGAAAUCUCCGAGCUUAACUCGGAAACUGCCAUUGAUACUAUAGGUCUUGAAUAUCCUGGAGGUGAGCGGAAUAUGUCAUGUAGCGGUGAAAUGCUUAGAUAUGACAUAGAACACCAAUUGCGAAGGCAGCUCACUACGGGGUCAUUGACACUGAGGCACGAAAGCGUGGGGAUCAAACAGGAUUAGAUACCCUGGUAGUCC
rnacentral:rRNA from 1 species